GCAUUGGUAGUUCAGUGAUAGAAUUCUCACCUUCCAUGCAAGAGACCCGGGUUGGAUUCCCACUCAGUGCA
rnacentral:tRNA from 1 species